rnacentral:rRNA from 1 species
CCAGACUCCUACGGGAGGCAGCAGUGAGGAAUAUUGGGCAAUGGGCGCAAGCCUGACCCAGCAAUGCCGCGUGAAGGAAGAAGGCCCUCGGGUUGUAAACUUCUUUUAUCAGGGACGAAGGAUGUGACGGUACCUGAUGAAUAAGCUCCGGCUAACUACGUGCCAGCAGCCGCGGUAAUACGUAGGGGGCAAGCGUUAUCCGGAUUCACUGGGCGUAAAGGGAGCGCAGGCGGCACGGCAAGUCUGGUGUGAAAACCCGGGGCUCAACCCCGGGACUGCAUUGGAAACUGCCGGGCUGGAGUGUCGGAGGGGUAAGCGGAAUUCCUAGUGUAGCGGUGAAAUGCGUAGAUAUCAGGAGGAACACCGGUGGCGAAGGCGGCCUGCUGGACUGCAACUGACGUUGAGGCCCGAAAGCGUGGGGAGCAAACAGGAUUAGAUACCCGAGUACCC